rnacentral:rRNA from 1 species
AGAGUUUGAUCAUGGCUCAGAACGAACGCUGGCGGCGUGGAUAAGACAUGCAAGUCGAACGCUGAUUUCAGGGUAGCAAUAUUCUGGAGUCGGAGUGGCGCAAGGGUGCGUAACACGUGGGUAAUUUGCCGCGAAGUCUGGGAUAACUUGCUGAAAGGCGAGCUAAUACCGGAUGUGAUUUUCGGGAGGCAUCUCCUGAAUCUUAAAGUUGGGGACCGUAAGGCCUGACACUUCACGAUAAGCCCGCGGCCUAUCAGCUAGUUGGUGAGGUAACGGCUCACCAAGGCUAAGACGGGUAGCUGGUCUGAGAGGACGACCAGCCACACUGGAACUGAGACACGGUCCAGACACCUACGGGUGGCAGCAGUCGAGAAUUUUUCACAAUGGGCGAAAGCCUGAUGGAGCGACGCCGCGUGGGGGAUGAAUGGCUUCGGCCCGUAAACCCCUGUCAUCUGGGAACAAUUCUCAUCCAUUAACACCGGAUGAGUUGAUAGUACCGGAAGAGGAAGGGACGGCUAACUCUGUGCCAGCAGCCGCGGUAAUACAGAGGUCCCAAGCGUUGUUCGGAUUCACUGGGCGUAAAGGGUGCGUAGGUGGUGGGGUAAGUCUGAUGUGAAAUCCCGCAGCUCAACUGCGGAACUGCAUCGGAUACUAUCUCGCUAGAGGGUUUGAGGGGGGACUGGAAUUCUCGGUGUAGCAGUGAAAUGCGUAGAUAUCGAGAGGAACACCAGUGGCGAAGGCGAGUCCCUGGAAAACUCCUGACACUGAGGCACGAAAGCUAGGGGAGCAAACAGGAUUAGAUACCCUAGUAGUCC